CCUACGGGAGGCAGCAGUGGGGAAUAUUGCACAAUGGGCGCAAGCCUGAUGCAGCGACGCCGCGUGAGGGAUGACGGCCUUCGGGUUGUAAACCUCUUUCAGCAGGGACGAAGCGCAAGUGACGGUACCUGCAGAAGAAGCACCGGCCAACUACGUGCCAGCAGCCGCGGUAAUACGUAGGGUGCAAGCGUUGUCCGGAAUUACUGGGCGUAAAGAGCUCGUAGGCGGUUUGUCGCGUCGUCUGUGAAAACCAGCAGCUCAACUGUUGGCUUGCAGGCGAUACGGGCAGACUUGAGUAUUUCAGGGGAGACUGGAAUUCCUGGUGUAGCGGUGAAAUGCGCAGAUAUCAGGAGGAACACCGGUGGCGAAGGCGGGUCUCUGGGAAAUAACUGACGCUGAGGAGCGAAAGCGUGGGUAGCGAACAGGAUUAGAUACCCUGGUAGUCCACGCCGUAAACGGUGGGCGCUAGGUGUGGGUUUACCUUCCGACGGGAUCCGUGCCGUAGCUAACGCAUUAAGCGCCCCGCNGGGGAUCGGCCGCAAGGCAAACUCAAAUGAAUUGACGGCUGNGAGNGCGACGACGACGACGAGGGAGAGG
rnacentral:rRNA from 1 species